UACGUAGGGUGCAAGCGUUAAUCGGAAUUACUGGGCGUAAAGCGUGCGCAGGCGGCUUUGCAAGACAGAUGUGAAAUCCCCCGGGCUCAACCUGGGAAUUGCAUUUGUGACUGCACGGCUAGAGUGUGUCAGAGGGGGGUAGAAUUCCACGUGUAGCAGUGAAAUGCGUAGAGAUGUGGAGGAAUACCGAUGGCGAAGGCAGCCCCCUGGGAUAACACUGACGCUCAUGCACGAAAGCGUGGGGAGCAAACAGG
rnacentral:rRNA from 1 species